CACUCGUUUUCUGCCAAAUAGCUGCAGCCAGACCUAACUGCUACUCUAGCGUCAUAGUCCUACUGGAUAGCAACUAGGUAGAGCGGGUCACGUCAGCAUCCGUCGUAACGUUGCUGCUGUAGAACUUGAAAACUGAUCGCACCUAUUCUCGCUCACAGAGUAUCAUAUCUCGGCUCAUUAUAUGACUUCCUUUCGCCAAAUUGUUGGUUUUGUCUUGUCAAGCUCUACUCUGGCAGACAACGAAGAAGACGGAUGAGUGACGGGACAUAAUCUCUGUCACCUGAUCUCGAGUGAUUUUCUCUCUUCAGACGCAGAUCUGAGGCGUUCUUUUUGGCUAAUGUUAUAGUCAUCACCGCUGGCUACUAGACCUACGGGGUGAUGUUAGUGCUCAUCGUACUGUUGCUACGGCCAAACGUGAAAUGUGAGAGACAAUAAUUUCACAUCCGGGAUCUUAUCUCGAUCAGUCGCUUUCAUCGCGUUUCUACAAGACGAAUCGAGACGUUAGUCAUGUCUGUUGAAAGGGCGGUGAGAAAGGUGAUAGACAUACGGGACAUAAUCUCUGGCACAGUAUGAGCGCACUUGUUGGGUUCUAGAGCUUUCAGGUAAGUGGUCUUACCUUCAUUGGCCAUUCUACAUACGGUCACAGUCGACUAAGGCUGAUUGAAAAUGUUUUGUAGUGAAUUUGUCUAACUAUAUCAGAUUCUAGUAAUUAGACUGUGUUGGCAAACGUUAGUUGUUCUGUCUAAAUUAUGUUUUUGAAUAAUAAUUAAGAUAAGCUUUAUUUAGUACAUCUGGUUUAGUGAUAAUUAGCAAAUUUUGUUAGCGAUAGAUUAUGAUGAUGGAGUUCUACAUUGAAUCCAUUCUGGCACAAGUUGAAUAAAAGAUGCAGACGGACAGACAAGCAGAUAGACAGACAAGCAGAGAGAAAGAAGACAACAUAAACACUUGCAAACAAUCAUGUAGUUACUGUCUGUCAGACACUGGUAUUAGCAUACUGUAAAUACUAAUGAUAUUUGUAAUACAGAGUCAGCCUUUGUGGCGAAGGGAGUCGAAUCUGAAAUACCAAACUCCCUCAAUUAGGUGCUUUCCUAAUGGUCAAGGUCCACACAGAUAGUCAUUGCUGUCUCGUUACUGGCCAUAGCAUCAUCCUACAUGCUAGAAGAAGGAGAGAAAGAGAGUCCUCCAAGAGAGACUAUUAUUAUUCUUCAUGUGACCGACGUGGAGAUGAAGCCUAAGUGAAAGGAAUUGUUGUACAUUUUAGUGACAAGUGAGAGACAGUGUGGUACUAGCUGGAACUGUUGCAGUAAUGUCAUCA